CACGUAGGGUGCGAGCGUUGUCCGGAAUCACUGGGCGUAAAGGGUGCGUAGGCGGGUCUUUAAGUCAGGGGUGAAAUCCUGGAGCUCAACUCCAGAACUGCCUUUGAUACUGAGGAUCUUGAGUUCGGGAGAGGUGAGUGGAACUGCGAGUGUAGAGGUGAAAUUCGUAGAUAUUCGCAAGAACACCAGUGGCGAAGGCGGCUCACUGGCCCGAUACUGACGCUGAGGCACGAAAGCGUGGGGAGCAAACAGG
rnacentral:rRNA from 1 species